AUGCAUCCGGUGGCAGGGGGUGGCAGGGGUGCCGGCGGGGGGGGGCAGGGUGCGGGGGGCAGUGCCAGGCGGGUGAGAACCACCCGGGGCUGCCUCCGCUGCACCUCUUGGAUCAGACGUGCAGUGCGGGGCAACAGAGGUGCGGGGGCAGCCAGGGGGGUCGGCAGUGCCAGGCGGGUGAGAACCACCCGGGGCUGCCUCCGCCGCGCCUCUUCCAUCAGAUGUGCAGUGCGGGGCGACGGAGGCGCAGGGGCAGCCAGGGGCGUCGGCACGGGCAGCUCAGGGGAUGCUGGCUGCCAGCAGAGCGAGUUGCUGAGGAGCCCUGAUUCAGGAUGUGUCUCUUUGCUCAGCUCCCUGCUGGCCCCGGAGGAGUCCGAGUGCUCUGUGCUGGAAGAAGAGGAGUCGAGGCUGCUGGAGACAUCAGGGCUCAGUGGCUCUGUGGCAGUGAUGCGCUGCAUCAGCUCUUGCGUUUGGCAGCUGUUUGCAGUGGCUUUGGUCCCCUCUCUUGUGACACCGGGCAGGUCCUGCUUGUGCUGGGGGACCUCCAGAGCACUCUCCAGAGCCGCUUCUGAAAAAGCAAGAACAUCCCCCCGAACGAUGAUGGCAGCCUUCCCACAGCCACUCGGUGCAGGCAGCCACCUCUGGGGGUCACCUCUGCGGAGCACAGUCUCACCGUCAAUCCAGUUCCAAGCAGGUGGGCUCUCAGUGUCUUGCAAGUGCCACUUAGCAGCAGCAAGUCCAGCCAGGAGGCACAGCACCCUGCAACCUCCAGGGGCCUUUGUGCAGCAGCAGAUGUUGAUGCCCUAGAAGCACGGUGCGGAGCACAUCCUGGGAUCAAGGUGCCACGGACUGGAAAAUGCUGCUGUGGCGGAGUUCCUGUGUGAAGACAAAACUCCCAGUCCCCCAGAAAUGUGGAGGCAGAAGAGCAGUGACAAGGUAUCUACAUGUCUAUCUGUGUAUGUGCACAGCAGGCCCAGCUGCCCCUGCUUCCUCCCUCCCCAGGAUCUGCUCCUGCUGCUGCUGCUGCUGGAGUGUCCUCUGGCCACGGUGGCAUGGGGCGAGUUCUUUUGUCAAACAGGAUCUACCGUUUGUCAACCCACUGUGACUGGGCCUGAUCCCCUGGUUGACCUUUAAUUAAUCCCAACAUUAUCCAUCCCAUAACCUACCCUGGCACCGAGGUAAGGUGCAGUCCAUCUGGCCCCGUGGACUCGGGCAUCCAGCUUUCGGAGCAGGUCCAAAACCAUCUCAUUGUGGAUUAUGCAUGGCCUAUUCGGGUCCCCAUUCCUAUCUACCAGCACAGGGGACUGUGUUCCCAGGAAGUAAUGAGUCUUGCUAUGAAAGACUGAGGCAACGAAGGCAUUAAGUACCUCAGCCUUGUCCUGAUCCUUGGUCACCAAGUUGCCCUCGGCAUCCAAGAAGGGAUGGAGAUUCUCCCUAGCCCUCCUCUUGCUGUAGAUGUAUUUACAGAAAUAUUUAUUGUUGUCCUUUACCUUGGUGGCCAAGCUCAGUUCUAGCUGGGCUUUGGCUUUUCUAAUUUUCUCCCUGCACAUAUUUGCUACGUACCUGUAAUCAUCAUAAGUAGCUUGCCCACUCUUCCACAGACCAUAAUCUUUCAUUUUGCUCUUGAGUUCCAGUGGAAGGUCUCUGUUCAGCCAGUCCAGCCUCCUUGCCCAUCAGCUCAUCUUCCAUGACCU
rnacentral:lncRNA from 7 species